UACGUAGGGGGCAAGCGUUGUCCGGAAUCAUUGGGCGUAAAGCGCGUGUAGGCGGCUCGGUAAGUCUGCUGUGAAAGUCCAGGGCUCAACCCUGGGAUGCCGGUGGAUACUGUCGAGCUCGAGUCCGGAAGAGGCGAGUGGAAUUCCCGGUGUAGCGGUGAAAUGCGCAGAUAUCAGGAAGAACACCUAUGGCGAAGGCAGCUCUCUGGGACGGUACUGACGCUGAGACGCGAAAGCGUGGGGAGCGAACAGG
rnacentral:rRNA from 1 species